GUUCGAGAAAUCUUUAUUUAAAAGGCUGAAAAUGUUUCAAAUGGCUUGAGAAUUUUGUAUUUAAAGUUUGACUUUGUUUUAAAUGGCUGGAGAAUUCUGUAUUUAACAAUCUGACAUUGUGCCUGUCUGUCUGACAGUUGUUGAUGUGUUUUUGUACAGAACCAAAUGAUUUACACAGUUGUCUUUCUUGGAGAUGGUUGAUCCUGUGCGAGUAAUUGUGAUGGAUAUGUUGCUUUCUUUAGCAAUCUCUUGGUGCGAUAACUUAUUGAGCCUUUUUUGUUGACUUGAUGUUUUAUCCCAUUCAGGAUUUUUUUUUUUAUUUUAGCUAUUUAAAUCUUAUUUAAAUUUGGUGUUAUGAGUUAUGAUGUAACUCAAAGUCUUUAAAUGAUUGCUGGGGGGGGUGGGGGGGGGGGGGGGGGGUUGGAGGGACAACACAAUUUUCAUAUUAAUGCAUGAGUGCCAUAUAUAUUGCUUUUCUUAAGCUUUUCAAUCAGAGGCACAUUUCCCUCUCUCUUCACUUUUAUAUUAAUUGAUAUGUGUCGAUGUAUUUUGUAAAAUGAUAUGCAAUUUCAAAACCAGUUCAUUUUUACAUGCAUGUAUACCGCUAGAUGUAUAAGAAAGUCUAGUACGAGCUGUCAUAUUGAGUAGAAUUGGUGAUACAUGUAAUGGUACAUGUAAUACUUUUAGAUAUUCAUUUAGGUAGCUUAAUAUUUGAUAUGUCUACAUAUUAGGCAGAUGAUUAUAAUCUAUGCUUUGUUAUAUCCUGAAAAAGAGAGAUAUUAUUUUUUGUAAGAAUAAAAAAUCUGAAGUUG
rnacentral:sRNA from 1 species